rnacentral:rRNA from 1 species
AAGGUGGCUAAUACCGGAUAAGAAAGACAGAUCGCAUGAUCAAGCUUUUUAAAAAGGCGGCGUAAGCUGUGCUAUGGGAUGGCCCCGCGGUGCAUUAGCUAGUUGGUAAGGUAAAGGCUUACCAAGGCGAUGAUGCAUAGCCGAGUUGAGAGACUGAUCGGCCACAUUGGGACUGAGACACGGCCCAAACUCCUACGGGCAGUU